AUAAGUGUUGUUGAUAAAAUAUAUGGAUUCAAAAUCUUUUUCAAAAGUUCUGUGUGCCCUUGAAUGAUAAAAAUAUGAAGUAUGUGAACAGAAUAUAGCUGUUCUGCUUCACAUACUGUAAAGGCGAUGCAAUUUUGACUAGUGUAAAGAUUUGCAUAAAACAAAAUAAGACAGAGGAAGUAAUUUCAAUCAAAAGUUUCGUACACUAAUUUGUCUGAAGUAUCUAACAAGCUAUCUUGCUUAAUUGUGAAUACUAAAUUCAAGUUUAACUAGACCAC
rnacentral:lncRNA from 1 species